UUGCGGUUAAAAAGCUCGUAGUUGGAUCUCGGCAGGUAGGGGGCGGUUCGUUUCUGACGGCACUGCCCCAUUUACCUGUGUUUUUGACGGAGGUUUCACGGUGAUUUUCAUCGAUUGUCGUGAUACGCCGUCAGGUUUACUUUGAAAAAAUUAGAGUGCUCAAAGCAGGCUACAAGCUUGAAUAUUUGUGCAUGGAAUAAUGGAAUAGGAAGUCGUUUCUAUUUUUUUGGUUUUCGGAAAUUGACUUAAUGAUUAAUAGGGACAGCCGGGGGCAUUCGUACUCAGACGACAGAGGUGAAAUUCUUGGACCGUCUGAGGACGAGCUACUGCGAAAGCAUUUGCCAAGAGUGUUUUCAUUAAUCAAGAACGAAAGUUAGAGGUUCGAAGGCGAUCAGAUACCGCCCUAGUUCUAACCAUAAACGAUGCUGACUAGCGAUCCGUAGCUGUUUUCUAUGUAGGCUCUAC
rnacentral:rRNA from 1 species